GUGAGGAAUAUUGGUCAAUGGGCGGGAGCCUGAACCAGCCAAGUCGCGUGAAGGAAGAAGGAUCUAUGGUUCGUAAACUUCUUUUGCAGGGGAAUAAAGUGCAGGACGUGUCCUGUUUUGUAUGUACCCUGAGAAUAAGGAUCGGCUAACUCCGUGCCAGCAGCCGCGGUAAUACGGAGGAUCCGAGCGUUAUCCGGAUUUAUUGGGUUUAAAGGGUGCGUAGGUGGUUUGAUAAGUCAGCGGUGAAAGUUUGCAGCUUAACUGUAAAAAUGCCGUUGAAACUGUCGGACUUGAGUGUAAAUGAGGUAGGCGGAAUGCGUGGUGUAGCGGUGAAAUGCAUAGAUAUCACGCAGAACUCCUAUUGCGAAGGCAGCUUACUAAGCUACAACUGACACUGAAGCACGAAAGCGUGGGGAUCAAACAGGAUUAGAAACCCGAGUAGUCC
rnacentral:rRNA from 1 species